UACAGAGGGGGCAAGCGUUGUUCGGAAUUACUGGGCGUAAAGGGCGCGUAGGCGGCCUUCUAAGUCGAACGUGAAAUCCCCGGGCUCAACCCGGGAACUGCGUCCGAUACUGGAAGGCUUGAAUCCGGGAGAGGGAUGCGGAAUUCCAGGUGUAGCGGUGAAAUGCGUAGAUAUCUGGAGGAACACCGGUGACGAAGGCGGCAUCCUGGACCGGCAUUGACGCUGAGGCGCGAAAGCCAGGGGAGCAAACGGG
rnacentral:rRNA from 1 species